rnacentral:rRNA from 1 species
UGCUGGAGGUAUCAGAAGUGCGAAUGCUGACAUAAGUAACGAUAAAGCGGGUGAAAAGCCCGCUCGCCGGAAGACCAAGGGUUCCUGUCCAACGUUAAUCGGGGCAGGGUGAGUCGACCCCUAAGGCGAGGCCGAAAGGCGUAGUCGAUGGGAAACAGGUUAAUAUUCCUGUACUUGGUGUUACUGCGAAGGGGGGACGGAGAAGGCUAUGUUAGCCGGGCGACGGUUGUCCCGGUUUAAGCAUGUAGGCGGAACGAUUAGGUAAAUCCGGUCGUUUUUUAACGCUGAGGUGUGAUGACGAGGCACUACGGUGCUGAAGUAACAAAUGCCCUGCUUCCAGGAAAAGCCUCUAAGCAUCAGGUAACAUCAAAUCGUACCCCAAACCGACACAGGUGGUCAGGUAGAGAAUACCAAGGCGCUUGAGAGAACUCGGGUGAAGGAACUAGGCAAAAUGGUGCCGUAACUUCGGGAGAAGGCACGCUGAUAUGUAGGUGAAGCCCCUGCGGGUGGAGCUGAAAUCAGUCGAAGAUACCAGCUGGCUGCAACUGUUUAUUAAAAACACAGCACUGUGCAAACACGAAAGUGGACGUAUACGGUGUGACGCCUGCCCGGUGCCGGAAGGUUAAUUGAUGGGGUUAGCGGUAACGCGAAGCUCUUGAUCGAAGCCCCGGUAAACGGCGGCCGUAACUAUAACGGUCCUAAGGUAGCGAAAUUCCUUGUCGGGUAAGUUCCGACCUGCACGAAUGGCGUAAUGAUGGCCAGGCUGUCUCCACCCGAGACUCAGUGAAAUUGAACUCGCUGUGAAGAUGCAGUGUACCCGCGGCAAGACGGAAAGACCCCGUGAACCUUUACUAUAGCUUGACACUGAACACUGGUCCUUGAUGUGUAGGAUAGGUGGGAGGCUUUGAAGUGUGGACGCCAGUCUGCGUGGAGCCGUCCUUGAAAUACCACCCUUUAAUGGCUGGUGUUCUAACGUAGACCCGUAAUCCGGGUUGCGGACAGUGUCUGGUGGGUAGUUUGACUGGGGCGGUCUCCUCCCAAAGAGUAACGGAGGAGCACGAAGGUUAGCUAAUCCUGGUCGGACAUCAGGAGGUUAGUGCAAUGGCAUAAGCUAGCUUGACUGCGAGAGUGACGGCUCGAGCAGGUGCGAAAGCAGGUCAUAGUGAUCCGGUGGUUCUGAAUGGAAGGGCCA